GGCUCAGAAUGAACGCUGGCGGCGCGCCUAAUACAUGCAAGUCGAGCGAGAAGACGUAGCAAUACGUUUGUAAAGCGGCGAACGGGUGAGGAAUACAUGGGUAACCUACCCUCGAGUGGGGAAUAACUAGCCGAAAGGUUAGCUAAUACCGCGUACGCUCCUUGGACUUCGGUUCAGGGAGGAAAGCGAUACCGUGGGUAUCGCGCUCUUGGAUGGGCUCAUGUCCUAUCAGCUUGUUGGUGAGGUAACGGCUCACCAAGGCUUCGACGGGUAGCUGGUCUGAGAGGACGAUCAGCCACACUGGCACUGCGACACGGGCCAGACUCCUACGGGAGGCAGCAGUAAGGAAUAUUGCGCAAUGGGCGAAAGCCUGACGCAGCGACGCCGCGUGGGGGAUGAAGGUCUUCGGAUUGUAAACCCCUUUCGGGAGGGAAGAUGGAAUGGGUAACCAUUCGGACGGUACCUCCAGAAGCAGCCACGGCUAACUUCGUGCCAGCAGCCGCGGUAAUACGAAGGUGGCAAGCGUUAUUCGGAUUUACUGGGCGUACAGGGAGCGUAGGCGGUUCGGUAAGCCCUCUGUGAAAUCUUCAGGCUUAACCUGGAAAAGUCGGAGGGGACUGCUGGGCUAGAGGACGGGAGAGGAGCGCGGAAUUCCCGGUGUAGCGGUGAAAUGCGUAGAGA
rnacentral:rRNA from 1 species